UAAGGAGGAGGGACUAACUAAUACUAACAAUUUCACUUUCAGUGCGCUCUGACAUUGGAGGUGACAUUGGAGUGUGUCUCUGUAUUGUUUUAUUAUACUUAUAUUAUUUAUAUAUUUAAUACACAUAGCAGUGCUAUUAUAGACAGGACGACUGGAAUGUCGUAUCUUCAUGUCGUUUCUUUAUCUGGAUUAAAUCUCUGACGCUAUUGUCGCCAACCAACAAACUCAAUUUAACGAAGCGUAGGCUACGAGUUUCAGGCCGAGUUUGGAGAGGAAGCAGAGCUAGCUGCUGAUUGGCUUACACCAAGGGCCCGGUGUAGGUCAACCUUUUAAAUCUAUGCCAGUGUUCUCUCUCUCUCUCGACCCUGAUGCUGGCCCUCCGUUUGGUGCCUGCCUCAUCGCAGGCCAGAUGCUGGCUGGGGCUUUUUGAUUGUGCUUGCGUUUUUCUUUAUUUUCCUUAGUUUGUAGAUCUGCAACGUUUUGUACAUAUAUUCUAUUAUUGUAAAUAAAUUAUUCAUUGUUGUACCGCAAA